rnacentral:rRNA from 1 species
AUUGAACGCUGGCGGCAGGCCUAACACAUGCAAGUCGAGCGGAUGAAGGGAGCUUGCUCCUGGAUUCCGCGUCGGACGGGUGAGUAAUGCCUAUGAAUCUGCCUGGUAGUGGGGGAUAACGUCCUGAGACGGGCGCUAAUACCGCAUACUUCCUGCUCGAGAAGGUGGGGGAUCUUCGGACCUCACGCUCUCAGAUGAGCCUAGGUCGGAUUAGCUAGUUGGUGGGGUAAAGGCCUACCAAGGCGACGAUCCGUAACUGGUCUGAGAGGAUGAUCAGUCACACGGGAACUGAGACACGGUCCAGAAGCCUACGGGAGGCAGCAGUGGGGAAUAUUGGACAAUGGGCGAAAGCCUGAUCCAGCCAUGCCGCGUGUGUGAAGAAGGGCUUCGGAUGGUAAAGAACUUUAAGGGGGGAGGAAGGGCAGUAAGUUAAUACCUUGCUGUUUUGACGUUACCAACAGAAUAAGCACCGGCUAACUUCGU